rnacentral:rRNA from 1 species
AGAGUUUGAUCAUGGCUCAGAUUGAACGCUGGCGGCAGGCUUAACACAUGCAAGUCGAGCGGAGAUGAGGUGCUUGCACCUUAUCUUAGCGGCGGACGGGUGAGUAAUGCUUAGGAAUCUGCCUAUUAGUGGGGGACAACAUUCCGAAAGGAAUGCUAAUACCGCAUACGUCCUACGGGAGAAAGCAGGGGAUCUUCGGACCUUGCGCUAAUAGAUGAGCCUAAGUCGGAUUAGCUAGUUGGUGGGGUAAAGGCCUACCAAGGCGACGAUCUGUAGCGGGUCUGAGAGGAUGAUCCGCCACACUGGGACUGAGACACGGCCCAGACUCCUACGGGAGGCAGCAGUGGGGAAUAUUGGACAAUGGGGGGAACCCUGAUCCAGCCAUGCCGCGUGUGUGAAGAAGGCCUUAUGGUUGUAAAGCACUUUAAGCGAGGAGGAGGCUACUGAGACUAAUACUCUUGGAUAGUGGACGUUACUCGCAGAAUAAGCACCGGCUAACUCUGUGCCAGCAGCCGCGGUAAUACAGAGGGUGCGAGCGUUAAUCGGAUUUACUGGGCGUAAAGCGUGCGUAGGCGGCUUUUUAAGUCGGAUGUGAGAUCCCCGAGCUUAACUUGGGAAUUGCAUUCGAUACUGGGAAGCUAGAGUAUGGGAGAGGAUGGUAGAAUUCCAGGUGUAGCGGUGAAAUGCGUAGAGAUCUGGAGGAAUACCGAUGGCGAAGGCAGCCAUCUGGCCUAAUACUGACGCUGAGGUACGAAAGCAUGGGGAGCAAACAGGAUUAGAUACCCUGGUAGUCCAUGCCGUAAACGAUGUCUACUAGCCGUUGGGGCCUUUGAGGCUUUAGUGGCGCAGCUAACGCGAUAAGUAGACCGCCCG